rnacentral:rRNA from 1 species
UACGAAGGGGGCUAGCGUUGUUCGGAAUUACUGGGCGUAAAGCGCACGUAGGCGGAUUGUUAAGUGAGGGGUGAAGAUCCCAGGGCUCAACCCUGGAACUGCCUUUCAUACUGGCAAUCUCGAGUCCGAGAGAGGUGAGUGGAAUUCCGAGUGUAGAGGUGAAAUUCGUAGAUAUUCGGAGGAACACCAGUGGCGAAGGCGGCUCACUGGCUCGGUACUGACGCUGAGACGCGAAAGCGUGGGGAGCGAACAGG